rnacentral:rRNA from 1 species
CACGUAGGGGGCAAGCGUUGUCCGGAUUUAUUGGGCGUAAAGAGCUCGUAGGUGGUUCGGUAAGUCAGGUGUGAAACCUCCAGGCUCAACCUGGAGACGCCACUUGAUACUGCUGUGACUGGAGUCCGGUAGGGGAGCGUGGAAUUCCGUGGUGUAGCGGUGAAAUGCGCAGAUAUCAGGAGGAACACCAGCGGCGAAGGCGGCGCUCUGGGCCGGUACUGACACUGAGGAGCGAAGCGUGGUAGCAACAGG